CCCGGCACAAGCGGUGGAUGAUGUGGAUUAAUUCGAUGCAACGCGAAAACCUUACCUACCCUUGACAUGUCUGGAACCUUGGUGAGAGCCGAGGGUGCCUUCGGGAGCCAGAACACAGGUGCUGCAUGGCUGUCGUCAGCUCGUGUCGUGAGAUGUUGGGUUAAGUCCCGCAACGAGCGCAACCCUUGUCACUAGUUGCCAUCAUUUAGUUGGGCACUCUAGUGAGACUGCCGGUGACAAACCGGAGGAAGGUGGGAUGACGUCAAGUCCUCAUGGCCCUUAUGGGUAGGGCUUCACACGUCAUACAAUGGUCGGUACAGAGGGUUGCCAAGCCGCGAGGUGGAGCCAAUCCUGAAAGCAGGCCUCAGUUCAGAUUGCAGUCUGCAACUCGACUGCAUGAAGCCGGAGUUGCUAGUAACCGCAGGUCAGCAAUACUGCGGUGAAUACGUUCCCGGGUCUU
rnacentral:rRNA from 1 species